rnacentral:rRNA from 1 species
AACGAACGCUGGCGGCAGGCCUAACACAUGCAAGUCGAGCGAGGACUUCGGUCCUAGCGGCGGACGGGUGAGUAACGCGUGGGAACGUGCCCUUUGCUUCGGAAUAGCCCUGGGAAACUAGGAGUAAUACCGGAUGAGCCCUUUGGGGGAAAGAUUUAUCGGCGAAGGAUCGGCCCGCGUUGGAUUAGGUAGUUGGUGGGUAAUGGCCUACCAAGCCGACGAUCCAUAGCUGGUUUGAGAGGAUGAUCAGCCACACUGGGACUGAGACACGGCCCAGACUCCUACGGGAGGCAGCAGUGGGGAAUCUUAGACAAUGGGGGAAACCCUGAUCUAGCCAUGCCGCGUGAGCGAUGAAGGCCUUAGGGUUGUAAAGCUCUUUCAGCUGGGAAGAUAAUGACGGUACCAGCAGAAGAAGCCCCGGCUAACUCCGUG